UCGGGGGGUUGAAACCAGUAAUUACUGGCAACAAAUUGAGGGAAGAGAAAGUCGAAUUGAAAGUAGUAAUAACUGCCAGCAAACACUGGCAACCGCUGAUGGAUAUUGAUGAACCAUGCACUCAAUAGCUUAGCUAAAACUAUUUCUUAUGUUGUACGUGAAGAUAUGUAAAUGCAAUCUUCGCAUUGAUCUCACAAUGUAAGGG
rnacentral:lncRNA from 1 species